UACGUAGGGUGCGAGCGUUGUCCGGAAUUAUUGGGCGUAAAGGGCUCGUAGGCGGUCUGUUGCGUCGGGAGUGAAAACUCAGGGCUUAACCCUGAGCCUGCUUCCGAUACGGGCAGACUAGAGGUAUGCAGGGGAGAACGGAAUUCCAGGUGUAGCGGUGAAAUGCGUAGAUAUCUGGAGGAACACCGGUGGCGAAGGCGGCAUCCUGGACCAACGCUGACACUGAGGAGCGAAAGCCAGGGGAGCAAACGGG
rnacentral:rRNA from 1 species